CUUUGCCUUUGCUACUUUGCCUGUGCUGCUUUGCCUUUGCUGCUCUCCCUUUGCUGCAUUGCCUGUGCUGCUCUCACUUUGCUGCCUAAUUUUUCGUGUCACUCACUUCACUUGUAAUUAUAUAUUUUUUUUUGCACUCGCGAAACUGCAGCUGCGUUAUUGCUGCUUGCCCUUAUUGCUAUUCGAGCAAUAUAUGGAAAGGCAGAGUUGAGCGACUGGACUUGACGCUCCAGACGAUGUUUGUACGUCCAAGAAAUUUAUAAUUUUUUUCGAAUAACAGUAUAUGUGGUUUUUUUUUUUGCAAAGUGAAAUAAUGUGUGCAUUUGCCAGGUGUAUUUAUUGUUGUACUUAAAUGAAGUACAAUACUAUCUGUAGUCUUGUGCGUUGAUUUUGUGGGUAGAGUGCCAAAACUAAGUUUUGGUCUCCACUUCACACAGCACAAAGGGUUUUGUACAUAUUAUAACUUAUGCACAAAUUAACCAAUCUAUUGCCUUAUAGCUUGCAGAGCACAAAUCCAAAAUACAUAUGUUUGGCUGUAACUUGCGUGUUGCUAAAUCGGGCAAAUUAUGCACUUUCACUUUGAAUAAAAAAUCAACUUGUUACCUGGGGGGUUACUCUGUAGGGCGUUGCGCAGGUGAAAAAGCUCGUUAAUGAAAAAAGGCAACUCUGUAAGGCGACAAGCGAAUUGGUAAUUGCAUUUUGCGAUUUUAUUUUUACCCCUUCGCAAUGGCACCACUCUGUAUUGCGUAAACGAGUGUCAAAUCUGUGCGUUUAUCGAAUUUUUGAUUCGAUAUCAAACUGGCAAGCGCAACGGACAAAAAAUGUAAGUUUAUAAGGCAUAUUUGUAGUUUUAAUUAAAAAAAAAUUAUUUAACAGGGAACAUUCUAAAAAUAAACAAACAAACCCAACACAAUUCGAAAUUUUUAUUAAUUAUAUGAAAACACAUUCGGAACUUUUCAAAGGACAACUGAAAACUGUGGACGCGAAAAAUGCUGCAAAUAAUUUAUGGAAAGAGUUGGUAUGUGACCUUAAUGCUGCGGGGCCACCAUCGCGCGAUGUUUUAAAAUGGAAAAAGAUUUGGUCGGAUUAUAAAACCCAUUUGAAAGCAAAAAUGCGGCGGAACAAACUAAGUAUCUCUGGAACUGGUGGUGGUCCUCCAAGUCAUUGCUCCUUAACACCGUUGGGGGAGCAGGUUAGUGAGCUUCUGGCAAUGGAAAUAUCCGUCAGUGGAAUAAGUGGCACCUUAGAAUUUGGUGCAGCACAGUUAAUGUAACCAAGUGGGUCAGACAUCACAACCGACGAAUUCCGACAGAAUGAACCAACGCCAGUGGAUGAAAUGCCAUAUUGUUCACGUCAAAGAGUCGCUCCGCAAAAGAAAGAGAGCCUUUUAAAUAAGCAGGUGGAUAACCAAAUCGCUUAUCACAAAGGUUCAUUAAAAGUGUUAAAUUAAUGAAAACCUAAAGGUGAUUUCAAAAUGUAUGAUAAAACAACAUAAAAUGGGUAAAAGAAAAUAUAAAUUGGCUGUUGAAAAAUUCGAACACAAAAAAGGAUUGAUUUGGACACAACCAAACUUAAAUUUGCAACAUUAGAACUAAAAAAGCAAAUGCUAGAAAUUGAACGGCCCGACCAAUAAAAAUGUUGUAUUUUAGUUAUUGACAUUAAAGUCUGUUACUUAUUUUUUAAUACUUACUGAUAAUUAUUUAUUUAUUAUAUUAAUAGUUUAAAUAAAUUGUUUUGAUUUAAAAACGUAUUUUGUGUUGAUGUGAUAGUUUUUACUUUUUAUUACUUACAGUGGCGGAUUAACGUAUAAGCACUACAAGCACAUGCUUGGGGCCUUUGUUCUCCAGGGGCCUCCAUCCUCUGCUGGCGUUUCAUUUUAUACCUACAUUUUAUCGAGAUUCAUCCACAAUAAAUUUUUCCGAAAGCACAAGGCGCGAGCAGUCCGGGAGUGACCCUUCAUACACCCCCGCAGAGCCCUGCCCCUGCCCCAAAUUACAUUUAAGUGAAAGGUAUUAGUAUGGCCACAACGAAAUUGUGUACAUGCAAAAUGGACAACUGCGUUGUUUUGUGCACAUGCCGGCCAUUGUUGUGUCACUGCCUUCUUGCAAAUGUUCAUGUAGUAGGAUUUACGACGCCAUUUUCAGCUCACUGUCGUGCUGCCAUGUCGUGUCGCGCUCAAUGUGUUCAGCACAUCAGUCGCCGGCGCAAUAAGUACCGAAAGUCGGUAACCGACUACUACUUACCUACCGAGUAUCGUAUUUUUUGAUUUUAUAACUUCACACGGAAAUAUCUCGGAAAUGAUGAGAUUUACGUCAUUUUUUCAAAGAGUAAUUAUUAGAUAAGUAAGAGUACUUAGUUUUAGAUAAAAUUUUCUAUCGAUUGGCCUAGGUUUCUAUUGACCUGUACACAAAAAAAAAUACAUUUCAUGUAUUUACAAGUUAAGAUAUGUUCGGCUUCAUACAAAAAGGUUCGAUAGGGCACCGUACGUAUACAGAAGGUGAUAUUUGUUAUUGAUACUAAUCAUCUACAUAUAUUAAACAUGAAACGCCAUCAUCUCAAUGGCGCGCAAAAACGCAAACAGGCAGAGCUGAAGAAGAAAAAAACAGAUGCACUGCCAAAAAUCAAAUCUUUUUUUCUAACCAAUCAGUUAGAAUCUGGUAAAGAUAAUAAUGAAUGUCAAGAAUCUCAAUCUUUAUCAUCUGCUUUCUUGAUAAAAACAGUACUACAGACGAUGAAAUAAAUAGCGAAAUUAAAACACCUGUUCCUGUUCCCGAUAAAUCUGAACCUGUUAUUGUUGCGAUUCCUGAAGUUUCAAAAUUUGAACUCGUAAAUUCCAAUAAAAAGACAGAUGCUGGGCUGUGGACGGAA